GGCCGAUAUCCUCGGUUUUAACCCAGAGCUUUGAACACCACCCAGAGCUGCAGAGAUGAACACUCAAACAGCACAGGUCACAAGUAGCGUGUGUUGAAGCAAUACCAUCAUCCUCCUUAACUUCACACUUUUCUGGGCCUCGUGUCUAGGAAUUGGUGACUGGAAAGAGAUGGAUGAUAGUAUCGUUGAUCGCAUCUACUGGUCUCUUGUGCUGCUGGAUGUUCACGCUCACAUCCCUGGGCAGUACUAAAGGCAGAGGGGUUAAAGAUCCGCAGAUAUCAGCUGUCUAGACGUAUUCCAUGCAUUGAAUUCAGCCAGAGUCCCCUUGGCCAAUUUGAGAUACAGUCUAAGAUACAUACA
rnacentral:snoRNA from 1 species